CAUGAAAAAGAAUUAGGAUUUUCGCUCCUAAAAAUGUGACUAGGGAUUGUCAUACCCUGUGAAGACAUGAAGAAGGAACAUAGGAAGGUUUAUUUCCUAAAAUGUCAACUAGGGGAUGGCUCCCUAUGAAGACGAAAUAAGAUGUCGACUAGGGGGUAGUGCCCUAUGAAGACGAAUAAGAUAUCAACUAGGGGAUGACGCCCUAUGAAGACAAAUAAGAUGUCAACUAGGGGAUGGCGCCCUAUGAAGACGAAAUAAGAUGUCGACUAGGGGAUAGUGCCCUAUGAAGACGAGUAAGAUGUCAACUAGGGGAUGGCGCCCUAUGAAGACGAAAUAAGAUGUCGACUAGGGGAUAGUGCCCUAUGAAGACGAAUAAGAUGUCAACUAGGGGAUGGCGCCCUAUGAAGACGAGUAAGAUGUCAACUAGGGGAUGGCGCCCUAUGAAGACGAGUAAGAUGUCAACUAGGGGAUGGCGCCCUAUGAAGACG
rnacentral:lncRNA from 1 species